UCCUGUUUGUGUCCCUUCUGAGGCCAAUUCCAAGGGCUGAAUUAUCUGUUCAUCAAGUUGGCUGGCUACUGAGCAUGUCCCAAGUAGCAUAUGUUGGGGAGGAACAUAUGAAUGUUCCCCAGGCUUCGUUGCUCCUAAGAACCAGUCCCUAUGGCACAAAUCCAUGCUGAACACUCUCAAACUAGCUUUAACCAGGGGAUACUACAUGGCGUUUUUCUGGAUUCAUCUACAUUGAAAACAGAAAACAUAUGUUUUACUCCAUGGAAUAUUUUCAAGCAAAGAUCACAUCAUCACCCAUCAAACAUCAAUGCCAUUCUUAUGGUGUGCUGCAUAUUUAUGCCCAGAUACAUGUGCUCGUAUGUGCAUGUAAUAGCCAGAAAUCAUCCUCUGAUUAAAUUUUCAGAUAUUACUUGCUCUGAACGCUUCUAAAAGAUAAAGCCCUAUUACAGUUGGGAAUCCUGAAAGAAAACCAAGUUUGAAUGGAUAGCAGAUGAUGUGUGAGGACAGGUACAUCAAGCUUCAUGUCAACAAACCACUC